rnacentral:rRNA from 1 species
AUACGGAGGGGGCAAGCGUUAUUCGGAAUCACUGGGCGUAAAGGACGCGUAGGCGGGUUUGUAAGUCAGGUGUGAAAUCCUACAGCUCAACUGUAGAACUGCACUUGAGACUACAGACCUAGAGUAUGGAAGGGGCAGAUGGAAUUAGUGGUGUAGGGGUAAAAUCCGUAGAUAUCACUAGGAAUACCGAAAGCGAAGGCGAUCUGCUAGGACAUUACUGACGCUGAGGCGUGAAAGCGUGGGGAGCAAACAGGAUUAGAUACCCCGGUAGUCC